AGGGUGGCAUAGACGGCGAGCCCAGGGAGGCCACUGACAUGCAUUCAAGAGAAAAGAAAAGAAGCCAGGCUUUGGCAUAAGUGCUUCAUGGUGGAGUGAGAAUGGCUUGCCCUGGAAGGGUCAUGUUUUAGAAGGAGUGAUCUUCAUUGUGAAGUCUAAACUGUUCUGGAAAUAUAAGCUUUGAAACCCAGAAGACACUAAAGUAAAAGAACCAUCAACACAAGUGACAUGUCAUAGCAGGAGCUGACACAGCCUCACCAGCCCAUGCUCGGCCAGACUAGGGAGCAUCGGCCGCUUGUUCCAUCCUGUGCUUGUCUGCCUGCCUCUCUGUCAUGAGACGCAUUCGAAGAGUCCUGGGCCCAAAAGCAACUCACAGUCCAGGAAGACGUCCAGGCCUUGGGUGACGCUCAGUCUCAUUUAGGAGAAAAAUCCUAUUAAUCAUCCAAGGUUCAACCAAGAAGAGAGGUCACUCUAAGUAUUUAUAACAGAGGACUCUCAUUGCCCAGGUUAUAGGAAGACUUUGAGGCCAGAGCACAGUGACAUUGGAGGGAGCCGCAACCCUCCCUGGGUUGAAGGAACUAAGGAGAAUGUGGCAGAAUUGGCCGGAAGCAGAAUUGCCUGUUUCCAGUGAGGCCCCCUUGCCCUCUUGGAAGCAAUUGCUGUGUAGGAAGUCUGAACACCUCACAGGAGAUGGAGGCCAGUUCCUGCCUGCUGUAGCCACCCAGCUGAAGGGGGUCCAGACACGAGUGGAGGCAUUGUGACCUCCAGCCUCAGCAGACACCUCCACACUGCGCAGGGCAGAGCAACCACGCCACCGAGUGAGCCCCAUUUGCAGACUUUGAGCAAAUAAUGAUUGUGCACGUUGGAUCAUUUAUUGAGUUUCUCUCGUACACCAAGCACUGGUUGGAUCCCAUGCUUGUUGGUGACAGAACUGCUGUGAUGCCAGUCCUGCGUCCCCUUCAGCCUGUGAAGGAGGAGCACCAUGAACCAGCCAACUAACACGUGUCUAAUCACAUAAAGGGAACUGAACACCAGAGAGCCACAGUCACUUUCCGAAGGUCACACAGCAAGUGCAAAUGAGGCCUCAUCCUCAGGGCUGGGUUCCAGGCCUGCUGGGCAGGUCGGUUACUGCUGCACAAAAUUUCUGUUAUCCUAAAAUUGUUUCAGACAAGCACCAAAGGACGUCCCAUAGUUCUGCUUGACUAAGGUUUAAUGAAGUUAAUGUUCAUACUUUC
rnacentral:lncRNA from 1 species